rnacentral:siRNA from 1 species
CUAGAGAUGCCAUGAGAUCGA